GAUGAACGCUGGCGGCGUGCUUAACACAUGCCAGUCGAACGGAAAGGCCCAACCUUGCUUGGGUACUCGAGUGGCGAACGGGUGAGUAACACGUGGGUGAUCUGCCCUGCACUUCGGGAUAAGCCUGGGAAACUGGGUCUAAUACCGGAUAGGACGAUGUUUUGGAUGCCAUUGUGGAAAGUUUUUUCGGUGUGGGAUGAGCUCGCGCCGUAUCAGCUUGUUGGUGGGGUAUUGUCCUACCAAGGCGUCGACGGGUAGCCGGCCUGUGAGGGGGUACGGCGACAUUGGGAGUGAGAUACGGCGCAGACUCCUACGGGGGGGAGAAGUGGGGAGUAUAGCACAAUGGGGGCAAGCCUGAGGCAGCGACGCGGCGUGGGGGAUGACGGCGUUCGGGUUGUAAACUCCUCUCGCGAGGGAGAAGGCGUGUUUGUGACGGUAACUGGAGAAGAAGCACCGGCUAACUACGUG
rnacentral:rRNA from 1 species